rnacentral:rRNA from 1 species
UACAGAGGGUGCGAGCGUUAAUCGGAAUUACUGGGCGUAAAGCGUGCGUAGACGGUUGCAUAAGUCGGAUGUGAAAUCCCCGGGCUCAACCUGGGAAUUGCAUUCGAGACUGUGUAGCUGGGGUGCGGAAGAGGGAAGCGGAAUUUCCGGUGUAGCGGUGAAAUGCGUAGAUGUCGGAAGGAACACCAGUGGCGAAAGCGGCUUCCUGGUCCAGCACCGACGUUUAGGCACGAAAGCGUGGGGAGCAAACAGG